rnacentral:lncRNA from 1 species
AAAAUUACAAUGCAAAGAAUUGUAUAAAGACAACUUGCUGUUGCAUUUUUAGGGAAUUUCUAUUGCUUUCCAGAUUUAAGGUAGAAUGAAACAUAACUAGCCAGUUAUUGAAACUUGAUUUUAUUAUGGGUUUCCAGAAUUUCCUUUGCCAUAUUUUCCCCUUGUAAUUUAUGAUCUCCAGCAUUGUUUGCACAUUGUUUUCAUUACUGCAGUUUGUUAUAAUUCAUCAUUUAUACCUUCCAUAUUCUUUCUUUUCUUACAGAUUGUGAUAUCUUUAGUCUAAAUUUUUAACUGGAAUCAGAACUGGAUGUUGGGGUCACUGUUUUAUUGUACCUUGUGAUUACGUAAUCCAAAAUUGCCCCCCAAAAAGUCAGUCUCACAACAACAAACUGCAGUCUACAGCUUCCUAAAGUUCAGCAUGUUAACCUAACAUAAAACACAACAAGAAUCUUGUUGCCUGAACUAUUUUAAAUUAAAGAGCCAGAUCUUUUUAGUGAGGCUAUCCUGACAAGACUUGACCUAAACUUUGUUUUUAUCAGUCAUAACAGUCCAAUUAUAUUAUUGGCCAAUUUUGUCCAAUGGACAAGAAAAAAGCAAAGUUGCCAGGUGCGGUGGCUCACGCCUGUAAUCCCAGCACUUUGGGAGGCCAAGGCGGGCGGAUCAUCUGAGGUCGGGAGUUCGAGACCAGCCUGACCAAUAUGGAGAAACCCCGUCUCUACCAAAAAUACAAAAUUAGCUGUGCAUGGUGGCCUAUGCCUGUAAUCCCAGCUACUUGGGAGGCUGAGGCAGGAGAAUCACUGGAACCCGGGAGGCAGAGGUUGUAUUGAGCCGAGAUUGAGCCAUUGCACUCCAGCCUGGGUGACAAGAACAAAACUCCGUUUCAAAAACAAAAAAAGGAAGAAAAGAAAAAGAAAAAAGAAAAGUCAACGACACCAUUAUCUUGUCAAGAUCAAGUGGUUUUAUUAUUGUGGCAGAAGCGAGAAAAUUUUGUUUAUUAAAAAAAAGAAAAAGCAAGACAAAAUGAUACUGUGGGGUCAAGUAUAACUCCAUGGAAAUGCCACGUCUGCUCUUCAGUGAAGAAGCUGGUUUAGAGUCUCAAAGAAAACUUUUGACUGUAUUUAUUUAUUGUUGCAAAAAAGAUGCUUUUUUAUUGCUGCCCUCAUUUGUCAACUAAUUAUUUUUUCUUAUAAAAUCCAGCCACGGUUACAUAUAAUCCAUCCGUAUCUUAUCAAUGAUUCCUGUACGUAAAAGUACAAGACAACCUCUAGAUGUCUUUUCUUUCUAUGAAAGGAGCUGCUAUGUACACAUGUGCACACACACACAACUGCGAAUCAACAAUGAGUUUAUUGUUCAUGGUAGAUUAAAAUCAAGCUUGCAUAAAGGUUGGGCUAAGUGGUCCUGGACUACAGACUCUGGUGCCUUGAAUAUAACAGUACAAUUUGUCAAUUACUCCACACCAGGUUAAAAUGAGUAAAAUCUAUUUGAAGGUAUCUUCUUUGUAAACAUUUGUCAGAUUCUAAUUUUUCUUUUUGUAUUAAAAUUCAACUAUGGAUGUAUGUGAAACAAAAUAAAUGGAGAUAGUUUUUCUCCCACAGACAGAGAUGUCUUUGAAUGUGCGCUAAUGAUUAUCUGUAAGCCUCUGUGGGGAGGGAGGGCUGCAAGGUCAUGAAAGGCAAAAGAAUCUAAUUGUACCUGGAAUUCUCCUGGACAGCAGUGGCCCCUCGUUUUAUCAUUCCCAGUCAAUUGUCAUCACGUCAGAGAAAAAUCUUCAGGGGUGCUAAUCCUGUCGCAUCAGUUGAUCAUACUAACGAAAAAGGUAAUGCGACAAGAUACAGAUUGCCUUCAUUUGUACAUUCUGUGAUACCGGGCAAAUUACCAAUUACAGACAGCUACUUAUAUUUUAUGAAGGACAUUUUUUGUUAGAUGAUCUCAUCCUCUGUGUUAUUUGUUGAUUGGGUUUGUUUUUUGCUUGUUGGUUUGUUUGUUUCUUCCAUGUAAGGAAAAGUAGUGUAAGCAGUAG